UGAGCAGGCCCGGGCACUUCUAUGAACUGAUGAGCUAGUGAACCAGAAGAACAUUUUGAUAACGUCGAUUGUUUCCCGUUUCUAACAUGAAGUUCUCAUCUACAGUUUUGGUUGGGCUUGUCAUAGCUAUUGUAAUGUCUGCAGUGCUAGCAGAAGAGAAGAGCCGUCGGGGAAUAAACAGUUAUCAAGGAAGCCACCUGGGAAUAAACAAUAAUCAAGGAAACCGCCAUGGAAUAAACAGUUAUCAAGGAAGCCAUCAUGGAAUAAACAGUUAUCCACGAAGCCGUCAUGGAAGAAACAUUUAUCAACGAAGACGUUUCAGGAGUGCCUAAGCAGUAAAUGCUUUUGCAAUGCCACAUACCACACAGGUUGAUACGGUCUUGUCUGGAGUAUAAUGUGCAAAUUCCAGGAUUUCUCUUUUGUUGUAUGAGGAGCAAAAUGAAAGUGUAUUGUUUUGAGAAUGGAAAUAAAUGCCAAAAUAUA